ensembl:miRNA
GGGGGUGGGGCUGGUGAUGCAGGACGCUGGGGACUGGAGAAGUCCUGCCUGACCCUGUCCCA